rnacentral:rRNA from 1 species
CAAUAGUGAAGGUCAGGCUGAAGACCUUACCCGAUUAGCUGAGAGGUGGUGCAUGGCCGUCGUCAGUUCGUACUGUGAAGCAUCCUGUUAAGUCAGGCAACGAGCGAGACCCACGUCCACAGUUGCCAGCAUACCCUCCGGGGUGAUGGGUACACUGUGGAGACCGCCGCUGCUAAAGCGGAGGAAGGAGUGGGCAACGGUAGGUCAGUAUGCCCCGAAUCUCCCGGGCUACACGCGGGCUACAAUGGUUGGUACAAUGGGCAUCUACCCCGAAAGGGGAAGGAAAUCUCUUAAAGCCAAUCGUAGUUCGGAUUGAGGGCUGCAACUCGCCCUCAUGAAGCUGGAAUCCGUAGUAAUCGCGUUUCAACAGAACGCGGUGAAUACGUCCCUGCUCCUU